GCUGGUGUAGCUCAGUGGCAGAGCGCGUCCUUGGUAAGGACGAGGUCGAGGGUUCAACCCCCUCCACCAGCU
rnacentral:tRNA from 1 species